GACCCCUUGAAGACGACGAGGUAGAUAGGGCAGAGGUGGAAGUGCGGUAACGCAUGGAGCUGACUGUUACUAAUAGGUCGAGGGCAUAACCAAG
rnacentral:rRNA from 1 species